rnacentral:rRNA from 1 species
GUGGUGUACGCUUGGCUCCUACGGGGAUUAGUCGGCAAACCGUUGAGUAACACGUGAUUAACCUGCCCUUGACUCUGGGAUAACCUCCGGAAACGGAAGCUAAUACCGCAUAUGACCCACGGAGGCAUCUCCUGUGCGUGAAAAGAACUUCGGUCAAGGAUGGACUCCCGGCCUAUCCGGUAGUUGGUGAGGUAACGGCUCACCAAGCCUCCUACGGGAAACCGGCCUGAGAGGGUGACCGGCCACACUGGGACUGAGACACGGCCUUCAUCCCUACGGGAGGCAGCAGUGGGGAAUAUUGCAAAAUGGGCGCAAGCCUGAUGCUUUUCCCCGCGUGAGGGAUGACGGCCUUCGGUUUGUUAACCUUUUUUAUUGGGGAAGAACCGAAAGUGACGGUACCUGCAGAAAAAGCACCGGCUAACUACGUGCCAGCACCCGCGGUAAUACGUAGGGUGCAAGCGUUUUCCGGAAUUAUUGGGCGUAAAGAGCUCGUAGGCGGUCUGUCCCGUCUUCUGUGAAAACCCGAGGCUCAACCUCGGGCCUGCAGUGG